ACGUAAUUAAGGCGCAAAGGACCCAGCUCAGGCCAGACCUCUUGAUGGACAGUGUUGCAGUUACAUUGUUCUGAUGGUUCUAAAUCAUCCUGUUUCCUGAGCGGUUUAAUUUUUUAAACGUGGUAAAAGCGUAUUUUAGUGCGGUCGUCAAAGGGAAGAUAGACUCAGAAGCGUGCCUAAAUAUUAUUAAUAUUUUUGUGUGUCAGGUUUACGCGUCUCUGAACGGCAUUUUUAAGAAUUCGCAGGGUUUUACUUUUGGGGAAAGUGUAGGCUUUAGGACAAGUUGUUUCUUCCUGUGCUUUCUUUUUUCUUUGAAAAAGUCUUUGAUGGACCCUCUCCAGCCCUUAACACGGAGAUGGGUGUUUCCCCUUAGAAACUCUCUCAGGGGAGAACGGAGAUAGCUUUACCUUUCAUCAAAAAAGGAGACGUCUAGUCAGUUCUCUAAACAUUGUAAUUUGUAUAGAACAUCAACAUGAUUCGCAUGAAUUUCAGUCACCAGUGCUGUGAUGCUGAAAGACCGCCUCCAGGAUUUCAAGUUGAAAACGCAGAAGCAGCCCCGUUAUCCGUCAGGUGCACUCCCCAGUCACUCCAGCAGACCCUGCGCACCCGAGUCACUCCAGCAGACCCUGCACACCCGAGUCGCUCCAGCAGACAUGCGCACCCCAGUCACUCCAGCAGACCCUGCACACCCGAGUCACUCCAGGCAUCCUAGCUAACGAGGACUUCGAUUUCGAUUUCCAUCUGCAGGCAUCUUACCUCUCUGCCUCCUAAAAGGCCACCCGUGAGUUUCAAGGCGAGAUAGGAGGUCUUUGGGAUUUUAGGAAUGACUGUCAUGUGAUUCAGCUUUCCUUUCCUCAGUGGUUUCCUAGAUGCCAUCACAUAGGCACGCAGAAGCCUGCCGUUCCAAGGGCAGACCAGUGUGGCAAACCUCUGAAUAACAGAAACCCAGAGCUGGUUCUUAUUCCUGGAGUACUUAUUUAUUUUUUUUUAAACUAAGGGCAACUGGAUUCUAAAUAUUAUUCUGACGUCUCAUUCUCUGACUGACUUGAGAUUGUUAUCAGGUCAAGAUUUGGCAGAAUAGCUUACUUUUGAGACAAGAGGGAAGAGACCUCUCACCCCGUAGCCCUCAUCUGUGUCGUAACCAGAGAGCCUGGAGAGGAGGCUGAGCUGGCAGGACAGUGUGCACUCAUUAAUACUUCCUGCUUUUAAACCAAAAAAACCCCUCGUGAAUGUGUG
rnacentral:lncRNA from 1 species